CCUGGAGCAGAGGGCUGGGGAAAAACAGGGUGCGGAGGGCAGUGCAAGUUUCACGGGUUGUGAGAAGUUUGUGGGCUGGAAAGGUAAGCGGCUUCCGUGAGCCUCUCUGCAAGACUUUACUGGAAAGGACAAGGAAGCAUUUAUUAUCCAGGAGAGAAGGAGUGGAUCCGGCAGAUGUGUUUUAUCCAGUGCACUCAAGCCUAAGGUCCAAACUCAAAGAGCUAACGGGGCAUGGCAGGCUAUCAAGGCAGUCUUGGCCUCAACAGACACCUGGCACUUCCCUCCGAGCCCUGGAUCACUGUCGCCGCAGGUGAGCACGUUGGUCGUUGUGUUCUUGAGGAACAAACCACCACUAGUCUAUGAAAAGCAUUUUAAGCUUGCAGAACUCUCGAAGAAAAAAAAAAUGCUUGGGUGUUUACACAAGAAGCCUUGGAGAAGUUAUGGAAAGGAGGAAGUACCUAGCCCCAGACUUAUCACAUACCGAGUGGUUACACAUAUUUGCGGAAUAUAUAGCAAUUUACAUCAUCCAAAUCUUCUGUAUCUCUGUCCUUUCCUCCACAGAUCCUAAGAAUCAUUAUUUCUAAAACAAAUCACAAUAAUGGUAAAGUUGUAAAGAAGAGCGAGAACAGCAUGUCGACAUUUCUAGAGGGAGGGGCUCUGUGCUUUUACAAGUAAAACGUACUUGUACUGCUUAAAUUUUAAAUUAAUUGUAUUUGUUUUUUAAGUUAUUUUCACUACUAGUAGUAAAUAACACAUGAUAUUAAAAAGUUUAGUCCAAACGUUGCAGGAAAGAGAAAGCUCCCCUCUCCAUGAAGCCUUGUU
rnacentral:lncRNA from 1 species